CAUAACAUUGAGUGGAGAUCCGUGUGCUAUGCAGUAGGUCUUUGUUGGUUAUCCCUUUUAAAUACACGCCUUUUCCAUUUCUGAUGUCACUUUGGGAUCGACAUUUGAUUUGCUUGGUUCCAUGGGCAUUCAGGUGGAGCUGAAGUCUUGUGUUAAAUGAGGAAAAACUGUUCACCAGUUGGUCUGGAGUCUGGAGAUGUGAUUUGCUGUCCAGGGCACUGCACGGAGGCAGCCUGCCUUCCUCCCCAACUGACAUUAGUGCUGCCCUGAGCAGGGACAUUCCAUAGUGUAAGUGUUCUUGCUGAUGAAUGUCUGACCCUCGGGUGCAGGUGACUUGAUGUCCCACUUCCUUAAACGGGAUGUGUUCUGAGUGGGAGCAGGGAUACGUCCCUGGGCUCAAGGAUAUCCCUGGACUCAAGAAGAGGUCCCUUGAUAAUCUAAGCUGUGUCCGGAGUGCAGACGCUUCCUUUCUUCCCAAUCCAGGUUUAUGCCAAGCCGAGGACUGUCAUUAAUGCUGUUCCAAAGAGGCAGUUAUACAGUGGGUUCUACUCUGCACUUCAGAAAUGCUGUCUACCAAGAGGACAUAAAUAUUAAGAGAUUCUCCUCUGCAGAUUCUAGGUGAACCUUGAUUCUUCAGCGAGCUUCCUCAUCCCCCCAAAUCCCUGAAAGAUUUGUCCUCCUGUUGUGACCUUUCUGCCCCUCUUCUGAAGUUGUUGGUGCUAACUGUUCCUGAAAUAACCUGAAUCAAAAAGUAAUGGCUUUCAGGAAAGUUACAAUUAGCUUUUCACUGGGAAGAAAGCUCAAAGAGGUGCUUUUUGUUUGUUUUUAUUUAAAAAAAGAAAAGAGGUGGAAAAAGAAAAAAGAAGCAACUGAAAAAUCUUGUGGCCUUCUGAGUCUGUUGAGAAAACACUGAACUAUGUCAGGGGAGAACUGUUCCAACAGGAGACACAUUGAUUUUCGGCUUCUUUUCAUUGUUUUUAUUGCUGAUUACAUCCUCUUUUUCUAGAUUGUCAGUGUUGAGUAGAGGUGAAUGAAUUACUUUUCCUCACAGUUCAUUGAUUUCUGUGUUGACACACAUUGAUUUCAGCUCAGAAUAAGGAAGAAAGAGAGUCCUAAUAGAGCUGUCAUAAGUUGGAAGAGUUGCCUUGGGGGCAGAGAUAUCUGUGUCAAUAGAGGUGUUCAAACAUAGGCUGACACUAUGGAGAACAGUGUGGAGAUUCCUUAAAAAACUGGAAAUAGAACUGCCUUAUUACCCAGCAAUCCCACUGCUGGGCAUACACUCUGAGGAAACCAGAAGGGAAAG